rnacentral:lncRNA from 1 species
UUUUCUUAUUAUACUAUAGGGCUUCCAGUAAAAUCUUGAAUAGACGUGGUAAGAGUGAACAUCCCUGCCUUGUUCCUGAUAUUAGUUGGAAAACAUCUAGUUCCUCCCCAUUAAGUAUGAUGUUAGCUGUAGAUUUUUUGCAGAUGUUCUUUAUCAGAUUGAGAAAGUCCCUCUCUAUUCCUUGUUUGCAGGAAUGGGUAUUGGAUUUUGUCACAUGCUUUUCCUGCAUCUAUUGCUACAAUCAUUGAUUAUAUAACUUUUUUUCUGUACCUUGUGGAUGGGAUGGGAUUACAUUAAUUGAUUUUUGAAUGCUGAACUAGCUUUGUAUACCUGGAAUAAAUCCCACUUGGUUGGGGCACCUGGGUGGAUCAGUUAAUUAAAUGUCAGACUCUUCAUUUUGGCUCAGAACAUGAUCUAUCCACUUACAAAUUCAAAAAUAUUGUUCAAAACAGUGUUUCCAAAAGGAAAAAUUAAAAAAAAAAAACACUCCUUAGAAAUGGACAAUAUACCUCUGUAUUAAAACCUGUAAAAUUCAGCCAAAAGAGAGCUCAUGGAAAAAAAAGCAUACACUUGAUCUAUUUCUGGAAAAACAAAAACAAAAACACAACAAGUAGGAGCACAGAAAAUAGGCUGAAUUUGAGCAUUUAGCUUAAGAAAUUAGAAAAUAACAAAUUAAAUAUAAAAAGAGGGCAAAGAAAAUUAUAAUCAAAUAAAAGAUCUCACCCCAGUAGCAACAAGCAUAUCUAGCAUCCAGAUCUUGAUUUCUAAUACCAAUAUCCAGUAAAAGGAACCAGGGCUUUCUGGAGAAAUGAGAUUCUAGUACUGAGCAUGAAAUAUACAAUAUGAUACAAGAGAUCUUAUAGUGCUAGAAAAUAACAUUACAAACAAAAGCCAAAAAGCCAAUAAGCAGAAGCCCACAUCGAUGGGCUAGGUGAAAGAAAGGAGCUAAAUGAAAGAGCUCCUAAUGGUUCAAAGUGCAACACUUUGAGAAAAAAAAUUAAUAAAAUAUUGUAUUAUAACCCAAAAUGAGAAAUGCAUAUCUCUGAGUCUAUACUGAUAUAAAUAAGUGAAUUAAAUAGGGGAAAAAAGUCAAAUCUCCCAUGCAGAAUUCCCAAAUUUAUGUAGAUAUUCCACCCUCAAGGAGGAAAAGUACAACUCCUCAAACCUAAGUACAAACUGUACACAGCGACUUCCUUUCAAAGAGUAGAGUAUAGGAAGGGAGAAAAAGGAAUAACACAUCUGCAUGAAUACCUCAAGUCAGAUGAUCAAGGUCAAAAUCAAUAAUACCAUGUUCAUAUAUGUGACUUUAGUAUUAUGUCAUGAAAACGGCACUUUACCUCUGUGGCCCUCCUUCUAAAAUUCUAUAACUCCAGUCUGACCAUAAGGAAAACACUAGACAAAUUCUAACAGAAGAACAUUCUACAAAACACUUGGUUGGUACUCCCCCCAAAUUACCAGAGUCAUCAAAAACAAGGCAAAUCUGAGAAAUAGUCAUAGCCAAGAGAAACAUAAGGAGAUACGACAACUAAAUGUAAUCUGGGAUCCUAGGUAAGAUCCUGGAAUAGAAAAACAGUAUCAGUUUAGAAACUCAGAAAAUCUGGAUAAAAUAUGGACUUUAAUUAAUGUACCAAUACUGACUCAUUAGUUCUAACAAAUAUGCUAUCAAUAAUAGGGAAUGUGGGGUGUAGGUAUAUGGGAACUCUGCAGUAUCUUCUCAAAACGGUCCUAAAAAGUGUAUUUUUUAAAAAGUAGAUUUGACAAAUCUAUAUAUCGAGCAAGUAUUUACUAAGUACCUAUUAUGUACUAAAUGUCACAUAUAUGGUAGUAACAAAAGGGUCAUUUUCCCUGACCUCAAAGAACAUAAAUUCUGGAGGUAGACAUUAAAGAAACACGCAUAAAUUUGUAUAUUAGCAAAUUAUGAUAGGUAUGUUAUUAAGAAAAUAGGAAGUUAGGGAGUUGAAAGAAGAAACCUAAAUGUUGAGAGACAACUGAAUGGUUUUAAGUCUAGGAGUCUAAAUAUAUUUGAAAUAUGCCUCUGCCUGUUAGGUAGAGAAAGAACUGUUGAGUCAAACCAUGAAAAUGAGGAGUCCUACUAGAAGAUUAAAAGAUGAUAAGGUUUAGACUUGGGUACUGGCAAGAUAUGGUAGAGAAUUAAGUAUGAAUAGAAAACUACUAGGUUUUAGUUUCUUCUUUCCUGCUACUUUCUAGAACUUUCUCAGUUCAAUAUGUUCUUAGUUGCUUGUCUUAGAUUUUCUAAAUAGACAAAUAUAUUAACUGUUUAAAAUGUUUAAUUUCUUUCUUUCCAGUAUUUAUACCUUAUUUAUCUCUCAUGUUUUAUUGCUUUGUCUGGUGUCUCUAGAAUAAUGUUGAUCUUGUCAGUAACAGCAAAUAUAUUAUUAUUUCUCACAUGAACAUAAAGCCACCAGACUAAAUAAAUGGUAGCUAAUAAAAACCUAAGGCACAUAAUAUGCUCGAGUCAAAAAGCACUUGAAUUAGUGUCAUUUUGUUCAGAUUGCUACCUAAUUUAAAUAUACAUAUGAAAAUGUUCCCAUUCAUUAUAACAAAAAGUAUAAAAUAUCCUAUAAUAAUCUUAAUAGAAAUACAAAGAAAUAAAUGAAUACAGCUCUAAAAUAUUGACAUUAAAAAAAACUAACAACCAGAAAACAAUGUGCAAAAUGAUAAUGAGUAUGUAUCAAUAAUUACUUUAAUAGGCCUAAAUGCUCCAAUCAAAACACAUAGGGUGGUUAAAUGGAUUAAAAAAACAAGACCCAUCUAUAUGCUAUCUACAAGAGACUCACUUCAGAUAUAAAGACAAAUAUAGACUGAAAGUGAAGAGAUGGAAAAGAUAUUCCAUGCAAAUGGAACCAAAAAGCUAUAGUAGCAAUACUCAUCAGACAAAACUUUUAAACAAUGACUGCAACAAAAGACAAAUGUUACAUAAUGAUUAAAGGGUCAAUCCAAGAAAAAAAUAGAACAUACCUAACCAGGAGUACUUAAAUAUAUAAAACAACUAUAAGCAGACAUAAAGAGGGAAAUUGACAGUAAUACUGUAAUAAUAGGAGACUUUAAUAUUCCACUUACAUUAAUGGACAGAUUAUCAACAAAAAAAGUCAACAAGGAAAUACUGUCCUUAAAAGAUCAAACCAGAUAGACUUAAUUAGAUUUACACAGAAAAAAAAAAAAAAUUUACACAGAACAUUUCAUCUCCAAACUACAAAGUACACAUUCUUUUCAAGUGCACACUGAACACUCUCCAGGAUCACUUUAGGAUACAAAACAAGUCUCAAUAAUUUAAGAACACUUAUAUCAUAUCAAGCAUCUCUUCCAAGCACAACAGCAUGAAGCUAGAAAUCAAUUACAAAAGUAAAACUGAGAGAAAAAAAAAAAAAAACCCAAAAAACAAAACCCACAAUACAUGGAGACUAAGAAACCAAGGGGCCAAAAAAAAAAAAAAAAAAAAAAAA